rnacentral:rRNA from 1 species
AGAGUUUGAUCAUGGCUCAGAAUCAACGCUGGCGGCGCGCCUAACACAUGCAAGUCGCACGAGAAAGCGGGAGCAAUCUCGCAAGUACAGUGGCGUACGGGUGAGUAACACGUGGAUCAUCUACCCUGGAGUGGGGAAUAACGCUGGGAAACCGGCGCUAAUACCGCAUAUUCCUGAGAGGGGAAAGCAGCAAUGCGCUCGAGGAGGAGUCCGCGGCCGAUUAGCUAGUUGGUAGGGUAAAAGCCUACCAAGGCUGUGAUCGGUAGCCGGCCUGAGAGGGCACACGGCCACACUGGCACUGAAACACGGGCCAGACUCCUACGGGAGGCAGCAGUGGGGAAUCUUGCACAAUGGGGGAAACCCUGAUGCAGCGACGCCGCGUGAGCGAUGAAGCCCUUCGGGGUGUAAAGCUCUUUCGGCAGGGAAGAUUAUGACGGUACCUGCAGAAGCAGCUGCGGCUAACUACGUGCCAGCAGCCGCGGUAAUACGUAGGCAGCAAGCGUUGUUCGGAGUUACUGGGCGUAAAGGGUGUGUAGGCGGCCUGUUAAGUUCCGUGUGAAAUCUCCCGGCUCAACCGGGAGGGUGCGCGGAAAACUGGCGGGCUAGAGUGCGGGAUGGGAGAGUAGAAUUCCUGGUGUAGCGGUGAAAUGCGUAGAUAUCAGGAGGAAUACCGGUGGUGUAGACGGCUCUCUGGACCGCAACUGACGCUGAAACACGAAAGCGUGGGUAGCAAACAGGAUUAGAUACCCUAGUAGUCC